UACGUAGGGCGCAAGCGUUGUCCGGAAUUAUUGGGCGUAAAGAGCUCGUAGGCGGCCUGUUGCGUCCGCUGUGAAAUCCCGGGGCUUAACCCCGGGCUUGCAGUGGAUACGGGCAGGCUGGAGGCAGGCAGGGGAGAACGGAAUUCCCGGUGUAGCGGUGAAAUGCGCAGAUAUCGGGAGGGACACCGGUGGCGAAGGCGGUUCUCUGGGCCUGUACUGACGCUGAGGAGCGAAAGCGUGGGGAGCGAACAGG
rnacentral:rRNA from 1 species